UGUAAGCGUAUACCAAAGUUGUUACAGUUAAAACGCUCGUAGUCGGAAUUUGGCAGUUCCGGAUGUGUGCACGUCGUGUGCGCACUUCGCGGGGAUUGCUUUUGUGGUCUUGCGUAGGAUGAGGCACUUUUAUUAGUGAACGUCCUCACGCAACCACUUUUUACUGUGAGAAAAUCAGAGUGCUCAAAGCAGGCAUUUGCCGUGAAUGUAUUAGCAUGGAAUAAUAGAAUAGGACUUGGUUCUAUUUUGUUGGUUUGUUGGGACUGAGUAAUGAUUAAGAGGGACAGUUGGGGGCAUUUGUAUUUCGGUGCUAGAGGUCAAAUUCUUAGAUUACCGAAAGACAAACUGCUGCGAAAGCGUCUGCCAAGGAUGUUUUCAUUGA
rnacentral:rRNA from 1 species